CAAGCACCUCGGGAUCCCAUUCCUUCACAGGGACCCUAGCCAGUUAAAGCUGAUACAUUCCUGUGGGUCAACUAUGCAACUAACUCAGAUUUUGAGCAAACAAAGCUCUCAAGUUGGUGAUCCUCAGGAGUCUCUGCAUUAGUUGGACAGCUCUUCUGGAAUUAUCUUCUAAGUCAACUGUGGGUUGGGUAGGUGGCUCUGCUGAUUUUUCGCUGGACUUCCACAUUUGGGACGAGUUGGCUGUCAUCAGCUCUAGAAAGGGUGUGGCCGUUUUACAUUGGCUGUUUUCCUCACAUUCCUCAAGCAGGUAAGCUUAAUCAUGUUCUCAUAUUGAAGCAGAAACUGUUUACUCAUUUAUCUAUUUACUUACUGGGUCUCCUGGGCACUAGGUACUGUAAUAAAGAACUGGAGAAAUACAGUCAGAUGGGAAGUAGCCCUUGCUGUCAAGGAGCUUGCCAUCUAAUGGGGGAGACAGAUAACUGAUACCGUGCUUCCAGAAGAUUUUUCUAACAGUGUUUGCAAGCUAUAAAAUAGUGCUUUCACUUAGAAAAGGCUAGACGUGGUGGUUCAUGCCUGUAAUCCCAGCACUUUGAGAGGCCGAG
rnacentral:lncRNA from 1 species